UACGUAGGGUGCAAGCGUUGAUCGGAAUUACUGGGCGUAAAGCGUGCGUAGGUGGUUUGUUAAGUCUGUUGUGAAAGCCCCGGGCUCAACCUGGGAAUGGCAUUGGAUACUGGCAGGCUAGAGUGCGGUAGAGGGUAGUGGAAUUCCCGGUGUAGCGGUGAAAUGCGUAGAGAUCGGGAGGAACACCAGUGGCGAAGGCGGCUACCUGGACCAGCACUGACACUGAGGCACGAAAGCGUGGGGAGCAAACAGG
rnacentral:rRNA from 1 species